CCUACGGGGGGCAGCAGUGAGGAAUAUUGGUCAAUGGACGAGAGUCUGAACCAGCCAAGUAGCGUGAAGGAUGACUGCCCUAUGGGUUGUAAACUGCUUUUAUAUGGGAAUAAAAUGUUCCACGUGUGGGUUUUUGUAUGUACCGUAUGAAUAAGGAUCGGCUAACUCCGUGCCAGCAGCCGCGGUAAUACGGAGGGUCCGAGCGUUAUCCGGAUUUAUUGGGUUUAAAGGGAGCGUAGGCGGAUGGUUAAGUCAGUUGUGAAAGUCUGCGGCUCAACCGGGAAAUUGCAGUUGAAACUGGGAGGCUUGAGUACAGUAGAGGUGGGCGGAAUUCGUGGUGUAGCGGUGAAAUGCUUAGAUAUCACGAAGAACUCCGAUUGCGAAGGCAGCUCACUGGACUGUAACUGACGCUGAUGCUCGAAAGUGUGGGUAUCAAACAGGAUUAGAUACCCUGGUAGUC
rnacentral:rRNA from 1 species